CCUACGGGAUGCACCAGUGGGGAAUAUUGCACAAUGGGCGCAAGCCUGAUGCAGCCAUGCCGCGUGUGUGAAGAAGGCCUUCGGGUUGUAAAGCACUUUCAGCGAGGAGGAAGGUGGUGAACUUAAUACGUUCAUCAAUUGACGUUACUCGCAGAAGAAGCACCGGCUAACUCCGUGCCAGCAGCCGCGGUAAUACGGAGGGUGCAAGCGUUAAUCGGAAUUACUGGGCGUAAAGCGCACGCAGGCGGUUUGUUAAGUCAGAUGUGAAAUCCCCGGUCUCAACCUGGGAACUGCAUUUGAAACUGGCAAGCUAGAGUCUCGUAGAGGGGGGUAGAGUUCCAGGUGUAGCGGUGAAAUGCGUAGAGAUCUGGAGGAAUACCGGUGGCGAAGGCGGCCCCCUGGACGAAGACUGACGCUGAGGAGCGAAAGCGUGGGGAGCAAACAGGAUUAGAUACCCCCGUAGUC
rnacentral:rRNA from 1 species